CAGCAGACACAUUCCAGCCAAUCAGCAGCAGACCCUCCCAGACCCUCCCACCUCCUGGACAGCAUCCAUUUUGAAGCUGCAUUCUUAGUGAGCUGUCCAGGAGGUGGGAGGGUCUGGGAGGGAGGGUCUGCUGCUGAUUGGCUGGAAUGUGUCUGCU